UUUUAAUCAUCUUUAAUAAAUGCUAUAUUUCAUUAGGAAGUGCAUAUCAGAAGCAAUAUAAAAGUGGUGGUGGUGGCCCAAGGUCAAGAAAGCUGGCCCUUAUAAUGAACCUGAAUCAAUUACUGUACUUCUUUACAACUAUGAAGGGAUGCAAGUUGUCUAGCUCGUGUCCUUAAAAAUAUUGUAAUAAGCAUUUAAUCCGAGUGAAAGAGAAAUGAGGGGCAAAAACUAACAAUACCAUAGCAGUUAACACAAUUAUAUGACGAAAUUUGUCCACUACUAUCUUACAAAGGUGCAUGAUCUACGACGGCAACUGUAAUGGUUUUACCAAUAACGAUACAAUAAUCGCUCAAUAUGCAGGAGUCCUUGUUUUUCCUCUGUUUACUCGAAAAGGUAUUGGGUAGUCAUACUUGACUCAAAAUCAGUAAAUGCAUAGCAAAAAAAAAUAUGCAUAAUUGGUUUUUUUCAUGGCGAAGUCACAGAGAGGACUUCUACACGGAGCCAAUAAAAAAAGAUCACUAAGAUUCCAACGACCUCUCAUUUUCCUGUCGCCUAAUGAUCGAUCGACAUUAAGAUGUUCUUUUUGUAUCUUCCGCCUCUAAUAUAUUUGGAUCGUUUGAUGAUAUAAGUUUCAUCAUGUUUUGAAAUAUACUAUUCCGCAACCAAAUUACACCGUUUGUCAAAAUAGUCCAAUAUAGUGAAAAAAUAUCUGAGGGAAAUCAUAUGUUUAACAUUCAUAAUUUUAACAAAACAUAAAAUAACAACUUGCUUUACACAGAUAUACGAAAAUGUGAUAUGAAUGCCAAUUAGACAACUCUCAAUCAAAUAAAAAAAACAAUUUGUAAACUAUAAUGGUAUGGUCUUCAACGCAAAGC
rnacentral:lncRNA from 1 species